AUACGGCUCAGUAACACGUAGUCAACAUGCCCAGGGGACGUGGAUAACCUCGGGAAACUGAGGAUAAACCGCGAUAGGUCACUACUUCUGGAAUGGGUAAUGACCCAAACCUAUAUGGCCCCUGGAUUGGACUGCGGCCGAUCAGGCUGUUGGUGAGGUAAUGGCCCACCAAACCUGUAACCGGUACGGGCUCUGAGAGGAGGAGCCCGGAGAUGGGCACUGAGACAAGGGCCCAGGCCCUAUGGGGCGCAGCAGGCGCGAAACCUCUGCAAUAGGCGAAAGCUUGACAGGGUUACUCUGAGUGAUUUCCGUUAAGGAGAUCUUUUGGCACCUCUAAAAAUGGUGCAGAAUAAGGGGUGGGCAAGUCUGGUGUCAGCCGCCGCGGUAAUACCAGCACCCCGAGUGGUCGGGACGUUUAUUGGGCCUAAAGCAUCCGUAGCCGGUUCUACAAGUCUUCCGUUAAAUCCACCUGCUCAACAGAUGGGCUGCGGAAGGUACUAUGGAGCUAGGAGGCGGGAGAGGCAAGCGGUACUCGAUGGGUAGGGGUAAAAUCCGUUGAUCCGUUGAAGACCACCAGUGGCGAAGGCGGCUUGCCAGAACGCGCUCGACGGUGAGGGAUGAAAGCUGGGGGAGCAAACCGGAUUAGAUACCCGGGUAGUCCCAGCUGUAAAC
rnacentral:rRNA from 1 species